UUCACACAUAAUGAUCCCAAACUUACAUUCACAAACACAAAAACUUGAUAUGUUCUUCACAAGUUUCCCCAAAAGCUGCAAAUUUACGACUGUAGGGGUCUCAUGGGGCCCAAUCCAUUGGCGUUAACUUGGCACCCAAGUAACCAUUUCUUGGCACCAAAAUCAUAUAUAAAUGGUGUGUAUUUUAAGGUGGGAUGAAUGAAACUAGUAAUCUGAUCUUGUGGCUGUAAAUUGGGAAAGAAGACCAGCUGCUUGAGCAGAAUGUGUAGGCAAUUUUUGCAUAGCAUCUGUGUACAACCGACGAAGCUGCACAAAGAAACCAAAUAGGACAGCAUGGCGCAAGUAAGACUGUUUCUCGUUCUCCAAAAGGCUUGAUAUAGAUACGAUGUGAUAUAUAUGGAAGGCAUGGAAGGAAGUGAGAUUUUCAUCUCUGAUGGAUGUUCAGCAGAGUCCUCUUGUUUAACUAUUGUAUCUUCCCACCCCUGUUCAGAAUACAAAAAUGUGAGAAGAUAGCGGAAAGUUCAUCCGAAACCCAAGUUAUCCACAAGUUAUGAGCUUUAAUACAAAGAUCCUGUGUUGUUUUUCUAAAUUCGCCAAGUUGUGGGCUUGAACUAUCAUCAACUCCAAAUAAUGCCGAAGCAGUAAGUGAAGAUUGUCUUCUAGGUGAAGGUAUCAUUUUCUUACCAUGGUUUUCAGACAUAAAAGAAUCAAACGUUCCACUAGAGUACGUCAAAAGUGGUGAUACCUUACCAGAAACCGCUGACAUCGAUUCAUUUAACCAUAAUCUGGGAGAACCAAGAAUAACGGGAAUGUUUCUAGAGUACUUUUGGAAUGCAAACAAUAGUCUUCCAAUGAAUAGUGACCUCUCGACAAUUACAGCUGGAGAUGAUGAAGAGUCACCCAAUGCAGAAUACAAGGAUUCCAGCUCGUUCUUGAGCUCUGUAAGUAUGGUUGACAUGCUUUCAAAACAUUUGUUUUGUAAAUAUGGUGCUAGUUCCUUUAACCUUAAAGAGGCUUUUGGAGACUCUAAGAAGGUUAAUAAGUCUUCAAGUACAUUCUUGCAGUGAUUGUCCACUGCCAUUCUAAUUCGACCAACUUCGUCACCAAAAUAAGCAUUUAAACAGCUUUGGAAAUCAUUACCGUUCGGAGAUACCUUAGGGCUAGUCACUAGGAAAGACUUUUUCAUGGUGGACUCCAUGAACCAAACUCCACCACCCAACGGAGAUCGAUUCAAGAAAUCUUGGAAGUCAACUUUGUCACCAUGACCCUUAUCAGUGGUGAGAAUCGACUCCUUAACGUUGACUAUAUUAUUCAAUUCAUCAAACCCGGAGCGAAUUAUCGCUUUCAUUCGGUUUGCAAAAGCCUGCUCGAAGAUUUCAUCCCAAAGAUCAUCAUCAUUUCCUAAAACAAGCUCGCGAGUUCUACUCCACGGCAAUUCAAUUUCCGAACCGAAAACAGUCUUUAGCCACUCCAAACUCCCUCCCAACACAUCCUUUCCUUCCAUCGUUUCCCUAAUCAACUUCUCAGCUGCAGCAAGCUGUUGCCCACUAUCAACAGCGUCAAUUAAGUACCGCCCGUUGACUUUGUUGACUAUUUCCCACCCGCAACUCCUCAAGAAAUCCAAACAAGCUUUAGCGAUAAACUCUCGAUCCAGCAUUACCAUUAACGACUCCAGUUUCUCCCUAAACGACUUCCACAAUCUCACUUCCUCAUCUGGAUUCGGUAUCCCACCAAACAACUGAGACGCAGGGGGUGAAUCCAAUACCGUCCUAUAAAACAAAGGCAUAUCACUUAACACCUGCAAAAACAACUCCCCUACAUGCGCUACACUAACCUGAAUCACCUUCAACACUUCACAAAACACCAUUAUCACAUCCUCACUAGCAACCUUACAACUACCUAACUUCUGCGAAACACACGACCGUCUCGCAUCAAGCAACAGUUUCAAAACCUGCGCCGGAUCAAGCUCAUCCACAACCGCAACAGCAGCAAGAGCAUCGGCAUACGCCGAGAUCUCAAGCCCUACCGCUUGAUCCAAUAACCUCUCUCGACUACGCUGCGAGAUUUGAGAUUUGAAACUCUCAACAAUCUGCCAUUGGUGCUGUAACAAAGGAAACUUCAACAGCAAACUCUUAUUACUCUCAUCACUCGUUAAACCGUUAUAAACUAAUUUCGCACGCAUAUAACGUGCCGCUGCAUCGACAAACAUCGAUUCAUCCAAACAUCCCCAAAUAUUCUCAGGAGUAUCAACAAUAUACUUAACACGACACGCAAUACCAUAACUACGAGCCCUAACUGGAUUUAACGAUGCAGAAUUCGGGUUAACAGUUGUAGAUGUAAGAGAAUGAAGAAUACCGUCGUGAAUUGAAGAUAUAUUGUGCGAAAUUGAGCGGCAGGAUGACGUCAUGUUGACGAUUGAAUCGGCGGAAUCGAUGAGAUCACGGUAGCGAUUGCCGAUGAGCUGCCGGAGCUCUUCGCUCUUAUCCUGGAUCUGUUUUCGGGUUGCGGAUUCGAUGUUUCGGAUCUCGGAGAUAGGUUUUGUACGGAAGAUUGAUUCGGCAUCUUUUGCCGGUAAUGUGGACGGAGAUGACGGUUGUGGUGGCACUCUCAUGGUGGUGGUUGUUGCCGGUGGUAGAUCUCGAAACCCUAACUGAAUUUACGGUUUUGUUACGAACGAGAUCUGAUUCACGGAGAUACUCAACAAACGUGAUUCGUAACCGAUUUGUUAUAUGUAGUUUGUUCUCAUGAAGAAUCAGAAAUCUU
rnacentral:lncRNA from 1 species